UACGUAGGGACCAAGCGUUGUUCGGAUUUACUGGGCGUAAAGGGCGCGUAGGCGGCAUAUUAAGUCAGCUGUGAAAUCUCCGAGCUUAACUCGGAACUGUCAGCUGAUACUGAUGUGCUAGAGUGCAGAAAGGGCAAUCAGAGUUCUUGGUGUAGCGGUGAAAUGCGUAGAUAUCAAGAGGAAUACCUGAGGCGAAGGCGGGUUGCUAGGCUGACACUGACGCUGAGGCGCGAAAGCGUGGGGAGCGAACAGG
rnacentral:rRNA from 1 species